rnacentral:rRNA from 1 species
GACGAACGCUGGCGGCGUGCUUAACACAUGCAAGUCGAACGGAAAGGCCCUGCUUUGGUGGGGUGCUCGAGUGGCGAACGGGUGAGUAGCACGUGAGUAACCUGCCCUUGACUUUGGGAUAACUUCAGGAAACUGGGGCUAAUACCGGAUAGGAGCUCCUGCUGCAUGGUGGGGGUUGGAAAGUUUCGGCGGUUGGGGAUGGACUCGCGGCUUAUCAGCUUGUUGGUGGGGUAGUGGCUUACCAAGGCUUUGACGGGUAGCCGGCCUGCGCGGGUGACCGGCCACAUUGGGACUGAGCUGCGGCCCAGACUCCUACGGGAGGCAGCAGUGGGGAAUAUUGCACAAUGGGCGGAAGCCUGAUGCAGCAACGCCGCGUGCGGGAUGACGGCCUUCGGGUUGUAAACCGCUUUCGCCUGUGACGAAGCGUGAGUGACGGUAAUGGGUAAAGAAGCACCGGCUAACUACGUG